ACGAACGCUGGCGGCGUGCUUAACCCCUGCAAGUCGAACGGAAAGGCCCUGCUUUUGUGGGGUGCUCGAGUGGCGAACGGGUGAGUAACACGUAAGUAACCUGCCCUUGACUUUGGGAUAACUUCAGGAAACUGGGGCUAAUACCGGAUAGGAGCUCCUGCUGCAUGGUGGGGGUUGGAAAGUUUCGGCGGUUGGGGAUGGACUCGCGGCUUAUCAGCUUGUUGGUGGGGUAGUGGCUUACCAAGGCUUUGACGGGUAGCCGGCCUGAGAGGGUGACCGGCCACCUUGCGCCUGAGGUACGGCCCAGACUCCUACGGGAGGCAGCAGUGGGGAGUAUUGCACAGUGGGCGGACGCCUGAUGCAGCAGCGCCGCGUGCGGGAUGACGGCCUUCGGGUUGUAAACCGCUUUCGCCUGUGACGAAGCGUGAGUGACGGUAAUGGGUAAAGAAGCACCGGCUAACUACGUG
rnacentral:rRNA from 1 species